UAGCGGGAUAAUUUGUCAACAUCAGGGGAAUUGCAUAGCGCAAAAUUAAAAUGCCUAAAAAUAUUUCAUUAUCAUGAAAUCACAAGUGCAAUAUACCAAAACACGACUUGUUGUUAAUCCACCUGGCGUGUCAGAUUUCAAAAAGGCUUUACGGUGAAAGCAUGCGAUUAUGUGAGGACAGCUCUCAGCAGACAAAGCAUCACAAACAGCUAGCAGGCAAAGUAGAUUGCUUUUCUGACUUUCGUGACCAAUCAAAUUAAUCGCUUACCUUUGAUGAUCUUCGUAUAUUUUCACUCACGAGACUCCCAGUUACACAAUAAAUGUUUGUUUUGUUCGAAAAAGAUUCACUUUAUAUCCAAAAACCUCCAUUUGGUUGGCUCGUUUUGUUCAGAAAUCCACAGGCUCAUACGGUCACGACGGGCAGACGAAAAUUCCAAAUAGUAUCCGUAAAGUUCGUAAAAACAUGUCAAACAUUUUUUUUAGAAUCAAUCCUCAGGUUGUUUAUACAAUAAAUAAUCGAUAAUAUUUCAACCGGACGGUAGCAUUUUCAAUAGAAGAGAGAAAGAAAAUGUCUCGCUCCAGGCGCGCGCGCAUGCAUAAAUCUGAGGACAUCUGGCUAUCCACUGACACGAUGUGAUCAUUCUCGCUCAUUUUUCAGAAUAAAAGCCUGAAACUAUGUCUAAAGACUGUUCACACCUUGUGGAAGCCAUAGUGAAAGGAAUCUGGUUGAUAUCCCUUUAAAUGGAGGAUUGCAAUGGAAGAGUAGUUUCAGAAAAACAGCACUUCCUGGAUGGAUUUUCCUCAGGUUUUCUCCUGCAUUAUCAGUUCUGUUAUACUCACAGACAAUUUCUUGACAGUUUUGAAAACUUUAGAAUUGUUUUCUAUCCUAAUCUGCCAAUUAUAUGCAUAUUAUAGCUUCUGGGCCCGAGAAAUAGGCAGUUUACUUUGGGCACGUUUUUCAUCCAAACAUCAAAAUACUGCCCCCUAGCUUAAAGAGGUUUUAACAUCCAUUGCAAAUGAUAAUAUAUUAAAACUAUAGUUUCUCAAAGUAAGCUAUUUGAAAAAUAUUUCUAUCAAACUCCCCCUCCAUAAUCACCAAUCCUCAGUGUGAAAAAGCAAUGCUGCAUUGGCCUAUAGGCUACGAGUUAACACAUUUAGCUGCCAACGGAUCACAAUGUGUCCAUACGGUAGAGGCUGAUGAUCUCGCAUUAGUUGACUUUUAACUUCUUGAUUUGUAUCAUUUUAAGUCAGAUUUGUAUGACUAACCACGUGACAAUGACUUUGAGAAACGAAAACGUUAUUAAUGAAAUGAAGGUGUUCCACGAAAAUGCGUAAAUUAAAAUCAGAACGGGCAAGCAGAACUGUAGAAAUUGUAGGAUAAAUUGUAGCCUAAGCUUAAUCAAACUCGAAACUCACUGCGCCGCCUAUUAAGUCUUUAUAAAAUAAUUGCCUCCACGUUUUCAUGGUCGGAUUUUCCCUAUAGGCUACUUUGAAUAAAGGUAAAACAUGCCUCAUAAAUAAAACAUUCAGGUUUCAAACAAUUAAGUAUGUUUUCAAAAUGCAUACUGCCCCCAGCUCUCAUUGUAAAGUGGUGGGUGAUGCGCUGUUAGCUUGUUGCCUGCACUGAAAUGGUAAAUAGGAGGCAAUAACAAUACUAGUUUUUUUUUUAGCAUGCGAUUGCAUUUAGAAUUGUUGCGCAAUGAAUGAGGUUAUAAAAGCGCAUGUUUUACUCCAGCAGCAACCAGUUUAGGAGCUGCAGGAGAAAUCGUGCUCAAAACAGGCUCUGUAUGCUGUGCGCUGAUAGUUGUGUUGGAUAAAAAUACACACAGCGCAAUUUAAUUCCACUACAUUAUGCAAAUUAACCUUUAGACCAAUAAGCAUGAUGGUCAAAUGUAUUUCAAUGCACUGGUAUUUCCAGCAAUAAAUAUAAAAAGCAUUAUUUUCCAAUAGGAUUUUUUGGAGAAGUUAACAGUAAGUUGUAUCAGCUUUUCUAACCCUGGUGUGUGUGAUGGUGGGAGUGCUGUGUAAAUGUGUGCAGAUGCUGAGAAGUUUGUGUCUUGUGUUAAGCAAUGUGUCCGUUGUGUGGCAUGUGUGUGCGCGCAUGCAGGUGGCAAGGGCAUAAGGUUGGAGGUAUUAUUUGUCUCUCUAGGCUUAAUCAGUUGGGUCACUAAAAAUACAACAUACCUAUGAUAUAUACAGCCAAAAUGUUACUAAUUGGUAAAGAGUAACUCUGCUUUUUUGUUCACGAAAAUCCCAGUUAUAUCUACUCUGUUACCCCUCCUGGUGUGUGUAUUUUACUUUUAUUUGAAUAAUCUCCGUGUUCUACAUCAGCCCUGAAAAUAUAACAACAUGACCACUGUAUCUUGAGAUAUUGGACAAAGUGUUGAAUUUUGAACACCUCCCUCUGCAACAAGAUUCUGGUCUUCCUGACAGGCCGCCCCCAGGCGGUGAGGGUAGGCAAUAACACUUCCGCCACCCUGAACAUCAACACAGGUGCCCCUCAGGAUGUGUGCUUAGUCCCCCCCUGUACUCCCUGUUCCACGACUGUGUGGCCACGAAUGACUCCAACACCAUCAUCAAGUUUGCGGAUGACACGACGAUGGUAGGACUGAUCACUGACAACAAUGAGACAGCCUAUAAGGAGGUCAGUGACCUGGCAGUGUGGUGCCAGGACAACAACCUUUCCCUCAAUGUCAGCAAGACAAAGGAGCUGAUCGUGGACUACAGGAAACAGAUAAACGAGCACGCCCCCAUCCACAUCGAUGGGGCUGUACUGGAGCGGGUCAAGACCUUCAAGUUCCUCGGUGACCACAUCAUUAAGAAAUUAACAUGGUCUACACACAGCCACACAAUUGUGAUGAGUGCACGACAGCACCUCUUCCCCCUCAGGAGGCUAAAAAAAGAUUUAGCAUGGGCCCUCAGAUCCUCAAAUAGUUCUACAGCUGCACCAUUGAGUGCAUUUUGACUGGCUGCGUCAUUGCUUGGUACAGCAACUGUAAGACACCCAAUUACAAGGUGCUACAGAGGGUGGUGAAUACAGCCCAGCUCAUCACUGGGGCUGAGCUCCUUGCCAUCCAGAACCUUUAUACAAGGCAGUGUCUGGGGAAGGCCUCAAAGACUCCAGCCACCCAAGCCAUAGAUUGUUAUCUUUGCUACCGAACAGCAACAGGAACCCUAAACAGCUUCUACCCCCAAGCCACAAGACUGCUAAAUAGCUAAUCAAAUGGCUACCUGAACUACCUGCAUUGACCCUUUUUAACUAACUCUUUUGCACUGACUAUGCACACCCUGGACUCUACCCACACCCACUCUGCUGCUUCACAUAUGCUGCUGCUACAACGCAGUCUUCUCUAUCCUGUUUGCUAGUCACUUUACCCCUACCUAUAUGUACAUAUCUACCCUCGUACCCCUGCACAUCGACUCGGUACUGCUACUCCCUGUAUAUAGGAUAUGUUGUUAUUUUUACUCAUUAUUCACUGUGUAUUUAUUCCUUGUGUCACUAUUUAUAUUUGUAUUUUAUCUUUAACUCUGCAUUAUUGGAAAAGGCCCGAAGGAAAGUAUGUCCUUGUUGGUCUACACCGGUGGUUAAGGAAGCAUGUAAGAAAUACAAUUUUAUUUGGAAUUUAAGAUUCCAGACAGAUGAUUUGGUUUCUUAUUGACAUGGGAAUCAUUGACCUGUCCGCUAACUUUUCUGCCUUUUCUGAUCACUUGAAAAGAAGAUAUCUCAUAGUAAGUCCUAGCUCUUGAUCGUGACUCAAUUCCAUUACAUUACACUUGAGUCAUUGGAGGAAAGCCUCUUUGUAUGGGGGAGUUUUAUAAAGUGCCCCACCUGAUUUUUUUUGGCACAAUGACCUUAUCUUUCAUAUCAGCGAGAAAUAAACCGAAACGUUAAAUUGAUACACAAUUUUAUAGGGUUAAGGUUCCCAAACUGCCAUCUCCAUGUCACAUCGCGUGUUAAUUAGCUAUUUGAAACGCUCUGAACACCCGGGUGUAACGGAAGGCCGCCAGAAACGUGUGGUCGCUGAAAAAUACUGUUGGCUGCAACUGGGACAAAGUAUCAUCUGCCUCUACACCCAUUGAGGACUGGUGCUGCGCAGUGCACCUUAAACCAAAUCCAACACAGCAGGAGACAUUGGGGUGGACCGGUGGGGUGGUGCUCAUUACCAAAAUGAGCCCUCGGGAAGAAAACCGUGACAGAAUCACCCACCACAACAGGACCAAGCGGCGUGGUGAAAAGCAGCAACAGCAGGAGAGGCAGCGGAAGCAGGAGAAGCAGCCAGCAUCACAAGACUCAUGGACAUGGGAGGACGAGUUGGACGCAAAAGGACCCUGGGCAGAGCCAGGGGAAUAUCGCCGCCCCAAAGCAGAGCUGGAGGCAGCGAAAGCAGAGAGGCGGCAUUACGAGGAGCAGGAGAGGCAGCGAUGUCAGGAUUUCAGGACAUGGGAGCACAAUCUGGACUAUACAACUUGGGAAGAGAUAGACAGGU